rnacentral:rRNA from 1 species
GACGAACGCUGGCGGCAUGCCUAAUACAUGCAAGUCGAGCGAACAGAUGAAGUGCUUGCACUUCUGACGUUAGCGGCGAACGGGUGAGUAACACGUAAGGAAUCUACCUAUAAGCGGGGGAUAACAUUCGGAAACGGAUGCUAAUACCGCAUAAUAUCUUCUUCCGCAUGGAAGAAGAUUGAAAGACGGCUCUGCUGUCACUUAUAGUUGACCUUGCGGUGCAUUAGUUAGUUGGUGGGGUAACGGCCUACCAAGACGAUGAUGCAUAGCCGACCUGAGAGGGUGAUCGGCCACAUUGGGACUGAGACACGGCCCAAACUCCUACGGGAGGCAGCAGUAGGGAAUCUUCCGCAAUGGGCGAAAGCCUGACGGAGCAAUGCCGCGUGAGUGAAGAAGGCCUUCGGGUCGUAAAACUCUGUUAUAAGAGAAGAACAAAUUGUAGAGUAACUGCUACAGUCUUGACGGUAUCUUAUCAGAAAGCCACGGCUAACUACGUGCCAGCAGCCGCCGUAA